rnacentral:rRNA from 1 species
AUACGGAGGGUGCAAGCGUUGUUCGGAAUUACUGGGCGUAAAGCGCGCGUAGGCGGUCUGUUAUGUCAGAUGUGAAAGUCCUCGGCUCAACCGGGGAAGUGCAUUUGAAACUGGCAGACUUGAGUACUGGAGGGGGUGGUGGAAUUCCCGGUGUAGAGGUGAAAUUCGUAGAUAUCGGGAGGAAUACCGGUGGCGAAGGCGACCACCUGGCCAGAUACUGACGCUGAGGUGCGAAAGCGUGGGGAGCAAACAGGAUUAGAUACCCGUGUAGUCC